rnacentral:lncRNA from 1 species
AAAAAAAAAACUAGUAUGAAAUGGAUAUCCCUGCACCGUUAAACGUAAGUAGCAAAAAUAUGAAGUAUUAUAAAGAUAACAUUGUAGAAAAUUAUCCAAUAUCUUCUUCUACAAUAUAUGAUAUAACAAAUAAGUACCAGAGUAAUUCAUCACGUGGUACGAAUGUUAAUAAUAUAAAUUAUGUAAAUAACACACAAGAACAAAACUAUCAUUCAAACUUUAAUUUGUCAAAUUAUAUGUAUAAUAUGCCGGGAAAGCAAAAUUAUAUGUAUAGCGCUCCUCAAAAUGUAUCUAAACGUAACGAGGGGAAAAACAAUCUGAAUAAUAAUACAAUUCAUAAAAUGAAAGAAAACGAAAGACAAAUGAAAGCAGCUGUUAGUGUAAAGAACAAACCACUUAUUACACCUAUAACUUACACUACUAACAAUAAUAUACCAUUAAAAUUACAACAUGAUAAUAUUAAUGCCCAAUUUGUUAAUAACAAAGAGAAAACAUUGUAUUAUGAUAAAAGAGUCCAUUAUGGAGAUAAUUAUAAAAACGUAAAAUAUGAGUAUGAUGGAAACUCAAUAUCAAAUGAUAAAAAAAUACAAAUCGUAAAGGAUCAUAACAAAAAGAUGAUGCAUGCCACGAAUACACAUAAAAAUGACAAUUUAAUGAUUAAAAAAGGAAAAGAAGAUAGUUUAUCAGAAAACAUGUUAAACGAAUAUCAUAAUAAAAUGUUAAACGAACAGCAGCUGUAUUUAAGGAAAAUGCAAAGUAAUAAAAAUAUAUUAAACUCGAAAAUAAAUCAGCAGAAUGCUACUGAGAACGAUAAAAUGUAUGAUACUCGUACAAAAGAACAUGUAAAAAAUAGAACAAGAGGCGUAAACAUUGUAAUGGGAGUAGCUAGGCCAUUUGUGACAGAAGGUACUAGACCAAUAGUUCCUAAUGUAACUAAAACAGUAGAAACACAACCAAGAAUGUCUCAAGGUGUAGUAAAGCACAGACAACACGAAAGAAUUAUAAGAGAACAAAAUAAUCAUAUCAUUACAAAUAAAACAGAAGAUAACAAAAGAAGUUUUAUAUAUGGGAAAAAUACUAGUAUACGUGGUAGAGAUGAACUAAAAGGUGAUAUGCGUACUAAUAAUUUGAAUAAACCAUAUGUAAAUAGUGUGUCAAAUAAUAGUGUAAAAACUAAUACAGAGUAUAUACAUUUUUUAAAAAAAACGGUAACAUGUGAAAAAAGUGGUGAUAAGCUUGAGCACAAUAUUUCUAAAGAUUUAGAUGAAAAUUCAUUAAAUUUAGAUAAGGGGUUAAGAAUAUUUGAUAGUACUAUUGUUGUUGAUAAAAACAAUAUGCUAAAGAAAUGGAAUGGUUAUGAAUGGGAGAAAUUAGAGAAUGACUAUAAUUUAGUUAUUAAAGCAAGGUAUGAUAAUAAUGGUAAUAUAUGGCUAUUAAAUAAUUCAUAUGAGAUAUUAAAAUUAAUGAAAAAUCGAUGUAAAAAAAUUGGUAAUUUAGCUAAUGAAGAGAUUAUUGACCUAGAUUUUGAUAAAAAAAAUACAUUAUGGGCUGUUAAUCGAAAAGGUGAAUUAUUAAAAUGGAAUAAAACACAAUGGAAGAAAAUAAAAUAUACAGGCUUUCAUAGAGUAAUAUGUAUAGCAUUUGAUAAUAAAGAUAAUUUGUGGGGUGUCAAUUCAAAAAGAGUGUUAGCAAUUUGGAACACAAAACUAAAUUGUUGGAAUGAAAAAAAGAUUAAAGGUAAUAUAAAAAUUGCAUCAUUAGAUUUUGACAGUUCUGGUCGAAUGUGGGUUAUUUCCAAUACUGGUGCAUUAUUAACAUGUUCAUGUGGAAAAUGGGUUAAUUUUGGGUUUGUGUCUUUUGAAGAAUUAAUUUCGAUAGGAUUUAAGAAAGAUAAUAAAUCGAAUGAAAAGCUGUAGUUCUGCAAAGGAUUAAAA